rnacentral:lncRNA from 1 species
AUUUUCCUUCACUUCACUCAGACACACUUCAGCAAGUGUGUCUGAGCCAACAUAGAAAGAUGGAGCAGCAAUUCAGAAGCAUCUCUCCUGAAGACAGAAGGCCAGUGCCCAGCUUCCUGUCACUCACUCGAGAGCAUUGGGCACCUGCUGGGGGCUGCAUGAGCUGCCAGUGAGCAGACAGGCAACGUCCCAGUGCUCCAGGGAUGCGUGUUCUAUCUGGGCAGAGACAACAGCAACCAGCAGACAAGAAACGCCGCAGAGUGCUGUGUGCUGGGUGCCGGGUGACGCUCAGGGUGGUCGUCUGGGCAUCCGUGUCAGAGUGCUGUGUGCCGGGCGACGCUCAGGGCGGCCCUGCGGGCAUCCGUGUCAGAGUGCUGUGUGCCGGGCGAUGCUCAGGGCGGCCGUGCGGGCAUCCAUGUCAGAGUGCUGUGUGCCGGGCGGAGCUCAGGGCGGCCCUGCGGGCAUCCAUGUCAGAGUGCUGUGUGCCGGGCGAUGCUCAGGGCGGCCGUGCGGGCAUCCAUGUCAGAGUGCUGUGUGCCGGGCGACAGUCAGGGCAGCCGUGCGGGCAUCCGUGUCAGAGUGCUGUGUGCCGGGCGAUGCUCAGGGCGGCCGUGCGGG